UACGAAGGGAGCUAGCGUUGUUCGGAAUCACUGGGCGUAAAGCGCACGUAGGCGGACGUGUCAGUCAGGGGUGAAAUCCCGGAGCUCAACUUCGGAACUGCCUUUGAUACAGCACGUCUUGAGUCCGAUAGAGGUGGGUGGAAUUCCUAGUGUAGAGGUGAAAUUCGUAGAUAUUAGGAAGAAACACCGGGUGGACGAAGGCGGCCCAC
rnacentral:rRNA from 1 species